UACGUAGGGUGCAAGCGUUGUCCGGAAUUAUUGGGCGUAAAGAGCUCGUAGGCGGUUUGUCGCGUCUGCUGUGAAAACCCGAGGCUCAACCUCGGGCCUGCAGUGGGUACGGGCAGACUAGAGUGCGGUAGGGGAGAUUGGAAUUCCUGGUGUAGCGGUGGAAUGCGCAGAUAUCAGGAGGAACACCGAUAGCGAAGGCAGCUCGCUGGGACGGUACUGACGCUGAGGCGCGAAAGCGUGGGGAGCGAACAGG
rnacentral:rRNA from 1 species